rnacentral:snoRNA from 1 species
UAAGCAAAAGUAAAUCAAGGGCAGGUCUGCUACUUAUAAAAUACCUAAUUCUAGUAGUGUGCUACGUGAGAAAGAAGUCUUUUGCUAACACCACAAGUCUCUGGUCCAAUAAGUGGACCAGAAUUGAUAGUAAUUCAUGCUACAAGU